rnacentral:rRNA from 1 species
UACGUAGGGAGCAAGCGUUAAUCGGAAUUACUGGGCGUAAAGCGUGCGUAGACGGUUGCGUAAGUCAGAUGUGAAAGCCCCGGGCUCAACCUGGGAAUUGCAUUUGAGACUGCGUAGCUAGGGUGCGGAAGAGGGAAGCGGAAUUUCCGGUGUAGCGGUGAAAUGCGUAGAUAUCGGAAGGAACACCAGUGGCGAAAGCGGCUUCCUGGUCCAGCACCGACGUUCAGGCACGAAAGCGUGGGGAGCAAACAGG